AUUGAACGCUGGCGGAAUGCUUUACACAUGCAAGUCGAACGGCAGCACGGGGGCAACCCUGGUGGCGAGUGGCGAACGGGUGAGUAAUGUAUCGGAACGUGCCCAGUCGUGGGGGAUAACGUAGUGAAAAUUACGCUAAUACCGCAUACGAUCUACGGAUGAAAGCGGGGGAUCGCAAGACCUCGCGCGAUUGGAGCGGCCGAUAUCAGAUUAGGUGGUUGGUGGGGUAAAGGCUCACCAAGCCAACGAUCUGUAGCUGGUCUGAGAGGACGACCAGCCACACUGGAACUGAGACACGGUCCAGACUCCUACGGGAGGCAGCAGUGGGGAAGUUUGGACAAUGGGCGAAAGCCUGAUCCAGCCAUUCCGCGUGCAGGAUGAAGGCCUUCGGGUUGUAAACUGCUUUUGUACGGAGCGAAAAGGCUCUCUCUAAUACAGGGGGCUCAUGACGGUACCGUAAGAAUAAGCACCGGCUAACUACGUGCCAGCCGCCGCUGUAAGAC
rnacentral:rRNA from 1 species